CGGAGGGAUCAUUACCGAGUUUACAACUCCCAAACCCCUGUGAACAUACCACUUGUUGCCUCGGCGGAUCAGCCCGCUCCCGGUAAAACGGGACGGCCCGCCAGAGGACCCCUAAACUCUGUUUCUAUAUGUAACUUCUGAGUAAAACCAUAAAUAAAUCAAAACUUUCAACAACGGAUCUCUUGGUUCUGGCAUCGAUGAAGAACGCAGCAAAAUGCGAUAAGUAAUGUGAAUUGCAGAAUUCAGUGAAUCAUCGAAUCUUUGAACGCACAUUGCGCCCGCCAGUAUUCUGGCGGGCAUGCCUGUUCGAGCGUCAUUUCAACCCUCAAGCCCUCGGGUUUGGUGUUGGGGAUCGGCGAGCCUUUCUGGCAAGCCGGCCCCGAAAUCUAGUGGCGGUCUCGCUGCAGCCUCCAUUGCGUAGUAGUAAAACCCUCGCAACUGGAACGCGGCGCGGCCAAGCCGUUAAACCCCCAACUUCUGAAUGUUGACCUCGGAUCAGGUAGGAAUACCCGCUGAA
rnacentral:rRNA from 1 species